GUACUCCAGAGAAAAUAGCGUCACUGACACAGCUAUGGAGCACACCACCCCACUGCCCACCAUGGAUGAACU